rnacentral:rRNA from 1 species
AUUGAACGCUGGCGGCAGGCCUAACACAUGCAAGUCGAACGGUAACAGGAAGAAGCUUGCUUCUUUGCUGACGAGUGGCGGACGGGUGAGUAAUGUCUGGGAAACUGCCUGAUGGAGGGGGAUAACUACUGGAAACGGUAGCUAAUACCGCAUAACGUCGCAAGACCAAAGAGGGGGACCUUCGGGCCUCUUGCCAUCGGAUGUGCCCAGAUGGGAUUAGCUAGUUGGUGGGGUAACGGCUCACCAAGGCGACGAUCCCUAGCUGGUCUGAGAGGAUGACCAGCCACACUGGAACUGAGACACGGUCCAGACUCCUACGGGAGGCAGCAGUGGGGAAUAUUGCACAAUGGGCGCAAGCCUGAUGCAGCCAUGCCGCGUGUAUGAAGAAGGCCUUCGGGUUGUAAAGUACUUUCAGCGGGGAGGAAGGCGAUGCGGUUAAUAACCGUGUCGAUUGACGUUACACGCAGAAGAAGCACCGGCUAACUCCGUGCCAGCCGCCGCUAUAA